rnacentral:sRNA from 1 species
CCCGGCUGGGAGAAGCGCAUGAGCCGCAGCUCAGAGUAAACACUCAGGAAGCGUUACCCACUGCUGCCAUUCCCAGAGAUGCAAAAGGCCGAGUGUACUACUUCAACCACAUCACUAACGCCAGCCAGUGGGAGCGGCCCAGCGGCAACAGCAGCAGUGGUGGCAAAAACGGGCAGGGGGAGCCUGCCAGGGUCCGCUGCUCACACCUGCUGGUGAAGCACAGCCAGUCAAGGCGGCCCUCGUCCUGGCGGCAGGAGAAGAUCACCCGGACCAAGGAGGAGGCCCUGGAGCUGAUCAACGGCUACAUCCAGAAGAUCAAGUCGGGAGAGGAGGACUUUGAGUCUCUGGCCUCACAAUUCAGCGACUGCAGCUCAGCCAAGGCCAGGGGAGACCUGGGUGCCUUCAGCAGAGGUCAGAUGCAGAAGCCAUUUGAAGACGCCUCGUUUGCGCUGCGGACGGGAGAGAUGAGCGGGCCCGUGUUCACGGAUUCCGGCAUCCACAUCAUCCUCCGCACUGAGUGAGGGUGGGGAGCCCAG